rnacentral:lncRNA from 1 species
CGCAGUCUGACAUUCGGGAAUACGCCAAGUUAUUGAGAAAGGAGAAAAUCAGAUUCUACUCACACUGCCAUGAAAUGCAGAGAUAAAUGUAAAAGAUUAUUGGCGGUCACAAUAUAUAAAAAUCAAGGAUACUUUUAUGCUUUUUGAUUUGAAAAGGAGAGAAGACUGGGUCAUCUGGACAGUUCACUUGUACUGAGCAGCUUCUUGUUUAUUGAUCACCAAAUAGAUAAAGCGUUUUAGAAGACUUUUUUUAUAUUGCCAUUAAUAAGAACAAUAUUUAUUUUCCUUUUACAAAACAUGCUCACAAAUGAGCAGUCCUCAGCAGCACACACAAGAAAACUGAAGCAGAGAUAAAGGAGCUAAACUAAAGGCACCCAGUGGACAGGGUAGAACUUAACUGCCCCAUGAAAAUACUAGGCAGGUGCCCAUUGUGAGCAGGUAUGGUGCUCAGUGCCUCCACUUUGACCGGUGCUUCCAGCAGGAGAAAAGACAGAGCAGAGAGCCAGAAUCUACCUGACCUUUCUGAAUAACCUCAAAUGCACUGAUAAUCAAUCUAUAGUUUUACAGGAACGAUGGUCCUCAUUCUGAACUGAGGAACUGCUUAAGUGUGUAUUCCUAGGAGGAUGACUUCCUUUCCUAGAACUGUGAGCUUCUUGUAAUAACAGCUAGACUGGAUGCCCUCUCUUUAACCUUCC